rnacentral:rRNA from 1 species
UUUAACUGAGCGUUCAGUUACUUGACGUAGACCCGAAACCGGGCGACCUACCCAUGAGCAGGAUGAAGCGAAAGUAAAAUUUCGUGGAGGUCCGAACCCACGAGCGUUGAAAAGCUCGGGGAUGACUUGUGGGUAGCGGUGAAAUUCCAAUCGAGCCCGGAGAUAGCUGGUUCUCCCCGAAAUAGCUUUAGGGCUAGCCUCAAGGUGAGAGAUACGGAGGUAGAGCACUGAAUGUCCUAGGGGGUAUUGCACCUACCGAAGACUAUCAAACUCCGAAUGCCGUCAUCUUAUACUUGGGAGUCAGACUGUGGGUGAUAAGAUUCAUAGUCGAAAGGGCAACAGCCCAGAUCGUCAGCUAAGGUCCCUAAAUGUAAGUUAAGUGGUAAAGGAUGUGGGAUUGCACAGACAACCAGGAUGUUGGCUUAGAAGCAGCCACUCAUUCAAAGAGUGCGUAAUAGCUCACUGGUCGAGUGAUCCUGCGCCGAAGAUUUCCGGGGCUAAAACUUACUACCGAAGCUACGGCAUCAGUAAUGAUGGGUAGGGGAGCUUCCCAUACGGGUUGAAGCAUGACCGUAAGGACAUGUGGACAGUAUGGGAGUGAGAAUGUUGGCAUGAGUAGCGAGAUGUGGGUGAGAAUCCCACAGGCCGUAAACCCAAGGUUUCCAGGGGAAGGUUCGUCCGCCCUGGGUUAGUCGGG